rnacentral:lncRNA from 1 species
AGUGACUCAUUGGCCCAUGAACAGUGAGUUCUGAAAAAUUAGAUGCGUGGUGCACAGAUUUUUCGGGAUUGCACAGUGCUCUUUAUAGUGAAAAAUGAACCAUGCUCAAGGAAAGAGAGAUUAACCCAGAAAAAUAUUGCAGUUGUGUUACAUUUGGAUAUCUCCAAGAUGGACAAGAAAGGCACUGUUAUGGACUGAAUGUUCAUGUUCCUUCAAAAUUCCUCUGUUGAAAUUCUGACCUCCAAUAUGAUGGUAUUAGGACGUGGAGCCUCUGACAGGUAAAUGCUACAUCCAAGACAUCUUCAGGCACCGACACCUUCCUUCUUCAUGCUGAACUUGACUCCUCACUGGCCC